UGGGAGUCAUGUGUCUGCCCAGGUGAAAAGU
rnacentral:piRNA from 1 species